CGAGAGGAGGACGGAAUAGUAAAUUUACAAUAUUGGGAAAAGGCGCGUGAAGUCCAGCGCCCCCAUUAUAUAAUCCCGAGUCCCUGAUUGAUUUUUGAUCAUUUCGUCUUUCGUACUGUUAGGGCUCUCUCUUUCGGAUUCCGCUUUUGCUUUCGAAUCCGCACCAGACCGUAGCCCUAGAUCGCAGCCAUGUCGUCGAAGCAAGGUGGAAAGGCAAAGCCUUUGAAGCAACCCAAGGCUGACAA